rnacentral:rRNA from 1 species
CCAGCGAACUUGGCAGAGAUGCCUUGGUGCCUUCGGGAACGCUGAGACAGGUGCUGCAUGGCUGUCGUCAGCUCGUGUUGUGAAAUGUUGGGUUAAGUCCCGCAACGAGCGCAACCCUUUAUCCUUUGUUGCCAGCGAUUCGGUCGGGAACUCAAAGGAGACUGCCGGUGAUAAACCGGAGGAAGGUGAGGAUGACGUCAAGUCAUCAUGGCCCUUACGAGUAGGGCUACACACGUGCUACAAUGGCGCAUACAAAGAGAAGCGACCUCGCGAGAGCAAGCGGACCUCAUAAAGUGCGUCGUAGUCCGGAUCGGAGUCUGCAACUCGACUCCGUGAAGUCGGAAUCGCUAGUAAUCGUGGAUCAGAAUGCCACGGUGAAUACGUUCCCGGGCCUUGUACACACCGCCCGUCACACCAUGGGAGUGGGUUGCAAAAGAAGUAGGUAGCUUAACCCUCGGGAGGGCGCUUACCACUUUGUGAUUCAUGACUGGGGUGAAGUCGUAACAAGGUAAGCGUAGUGCU